rnacentral:rRNA from 1 species
UAGUCCACGCCGUAAACGAUGUCUACUAGCCGUUGGGAGACUUGAUUUCUUAGUGGCGCAGCUAACGCACUAAGUAGACCGCCUGGGGAGUACGGCCGCAAGGUUAAAACUCAAAUGAAUUGACGGGGGCCCGCACAAGCGGUGGAGCAUGUGGUUUAAUUCGAUGCAACGCGAAGAACCUUACCAGGUCUUGACAUCCUGAGAACUUUCUAGAGAUAGAUUGGUGCCUUCGGGAACUCAGAGACAGGUGCUGCAUGGCUGUCGUCAGCUCGUGUCGUGAGAUGUUGGGUUAAGUCCAAUAACGAGCGCAACCCUUAUCCUUAGUUACCAGCAUUAAGUUGGGGACUCUAGGGAGACUGCCGGUGUUAAACCGGAGGAAGGCGGGGAUGACGUCAAGUCCUCAUGGCCCUUACGGGUAGGGCUACACACGUACUACAAUGGCAGAUACAAACCGUUUGCAAAGCCGCGAGGUUGAGCUAAUCGGUAAAACACUGUCCCAGUCCGGAUUGGAGUCUGCAACUCGACU